UACGUAGGUGGCAAGCGUUGUCCGGAUUUACUGGGCGUAAAGAGCGCGCAGGCGGUCGUUCAAGUCGCGUGUGAAAGCCCCCGGCUCAACUGGGGAGGGUCACGCGAUACUGAUCGACUCGAAGGCAGGAGAGGGAAGUGGAAUUCCCGGUGUAGUGGUGAAAUGCGUAGAUAUCGGGAGGAACACCAGUGGCGAAGGCGACUUCCUGGCCUGUUCUUGACGCUGAGGCGCGAAAGCUAGGGGAGCAAAGGG
rnacentral:rRNA from 1 species